CAACCUGAACUCAGUCGUGAUUACCCGCUGAACUUAAGCAUAUCAUUUAGCGGAGGAAAAGAAACUAAAAAAGGAUUCCCCUAGUAACGGCGAGUGAAACGGGAAGAGCCCAGCGCCGAAUCGAUCAGUCUUUGGCUGCUUCGAAAUGUGGCGUAUAGGUGUAGUCUUCCAGCAGUGUCGUAUGUCC
rnacentral:ncRNA from 1 species